AGGACGAACGCUGGCGGCGUGCUUAACACAUGCAAGUCAAGGGGGCCCAGCAAUGGGCAACCGGCGAACGGGUGCGUAACACGUGAGCAACCUACCGAAAUGUGGGGGAUAGCCGGCCUAACGGCCGAGUAAUACCGCAUACGCUCUCGAUGAGGCAUUUCAUUGAGAGGAAACCUACGGGACAUUUCGAGGGGCUCGCGGCCUAUCAGCUAGUUGGAGAGGUAACGGCUCACCAAGGCAACGACGGGUAGCUGGUCUGAGAGGAUGGCCAGCCACAUUGGGACUGAGAUACGGCCCAGACUCCUACGGGAGGCAGCAGUGGGGAAUCUUGCGCAAUGGCCUAACGGCUGACGCAGCGACGCCGCGUGUAGGAUGAAGCUCUUCGGAGUGUAAACCACGUGUUCGCCCGGGAACGAAUACGCUCGAUUAGUCGAGCCGUGACGGUACCGGUGAGGAAGCGACCGGCUAACGUCCGUGCCAGCAGCCGC
rnacentral:rRNA from 1 species